rnacentral:misc_RNA from 1 species
CAUUAUCAACCAUCAAGCCUGGCUUGUCGUUGGACCCCUUUGUUGCCCAAGCGACAGGUCCGAAAGAUAAUGAACGGUGUCCUGGUGGCGCUAAAUGCAACGAGCUUUUACCAGCACGCAUCUAGCGGUCCAUAAGGCCUGCUCUCAACCAUUAUUUCACGGUUGACCUCGGAUCAGGUAGGAAUACCCGCUGAACUUAA